AACGCUGGCGGCGUGCCUAACACAUGCAAGUCGAACGCGAAAGUGGAGCAAUCCAUGAGUAGAGUGGCAAACGGGUGAGUAACGCGUGGGCGACCUACCUCAGAGUGGGGGAUAACCUUCCGAAAGGAGGGCUAAUACCGCAUGACAUCCUCCGUUUAGAUACGGGGAGAUCAAAGCCGGGGAUCGCAAGACCUGGCGCUUGGAGAGGGGCCCGCGUCCGAUUAGCUAGUUGGUGAGGUAACGGCUCACCAAGGCUCCGAUCGGUAUCCGGCCUGAGAGGGCGGACGGACACACUGGAACUGAGACACGGUCCAGACUCCUACGGGAGGCAGCAGUGGGGAAUUGUUCGCAAUGGGCGCAAGCCUGACGACGCAACGCCGCGUGGAGGAUGAAGACCUUCGGGUCGUAAACUCCUUUCGACCGAGAUGAAUUCCUGCCGGCCUAAUAUGCCGGCGGGUUGACAGUAUCGAGGGAAGCAGC
rnacentral:rRNA from 1 species